CCACUAGGUUCAAAUUUCCCAAAUCUAACAGCUGACUUUCCAAGCCUGACCGAGGCAGCCGCAGUCCACAACUUGUUGUCUAUCCAGUGCUCAUCCUCCCUUCUCUUCAAAUAUCUCACCUUCUUCACCACAUGUGAUUUGGAGGAAGAUGACCUUGUCCUCAGUUCUGGGGCAAUUUGCAGCCCGUCAUGGAAUAUUGAGUGAAAAAACCAGCAUUCCACACAUAAGGCUGAACAUACAAAUACUGUCUACAAAUACUUAUUGAUCAAAUCUGGAGAAGAAGUUGUUCUAAAGGGAUGAAAAAUGGAUAGAAGAGAAAAUCAUCCAGGAUUCCUUACAGAGCCCAGGAAACUACUUGGUCUUCAAAUAUAUGAUUGCCUUUGUCAA